UGGGGAAUAUUGCACAAUGGGCGCAAGCCUGAUGCAGCAACGCCGCGUGAGGGACGACGGCCUUCGGGUUGUAAACCUCUUUUAGUAGGGAAGAAGCGAAAGUGACGGUACCUGCAGAAAAAGCACCGGCUAACUACGUGCCAGCAGCCGCGGUAAUACGUAGGGUGCGAGCGUUGUCCGGAAUUAUUGGGCGUAAAGAGCUCGUAGGCGGUCUGUCGCGUCUGCUGUGAAAACCCGAGGCUCAACCUCGGGCCUGCAGUGGGUACGGGCAGACUAGAGUGCGGUAGGGGAGAAUGGAAUUCCUGGUGUAGCGGUGGAAUGCGCAGGUAUCAGGAGGAACACCGAUGGCGAAGGCAGUUCUCUGGGCCGUAACUGACGCUGGGGGGUCGAAAGCGUGGGGAGCGAACAGGAUUAGAUACCCUGGUAGUCCACGCCGUAAACGUUGGGCGCUAGAUGUGGGGACCAUUCCACGGUUUCCGUGUCGCAGCUAACGCAUUAAGCGCCCCGCCUGGGGAGUACGGCCGCAAGGCUAAAACU
rnacentral:rRNA from 1 species